rnacentral:rRNA from 1 species
UGGGGAACUUUGGACAAUGGGCGAAAGCCUGAUCCAGCAAUGCCGCGUGUGUGAAGAAGGCCUUCGGGUUGUAAAGCACUUUUGUCCGGAAAGAAAUCCUUGGCUCUAAUACAGUCGGGGGAUGACGGUACCGGAAGAAUAAGCACCGGCUAACUACGUGCCAGCAGCCGCGGUAAUACGUAGGGUGCAAGCGUUAAUCGGAAUUACUGGGCGUAAAGCGUGCGCAGGCGGUUUGCUAAGACCGAUGUGAAAUCCCCGGGCUCAACCUGGGAACUGCAUUGGUGACUGGCAGGCUAGAGUAUGGCAGAGGGGGGUAGAAUUCCACGUGUAGCAGUGAAAUGCGUAGAGAUGUGGAGGAAUACCGAUGGCGAAGGCAGCCCCCUGGGCCAAUACUGACGCUCAUGCACGAAAAGCGUGGGGGAGCAAAACAGGAUUAGAUACCCUGGUAGUCCACGCCCUAAAACGAUGUCAACUAGUUGUUGGGGAUUCAUUUCCUUAGUAACGUAGCUAACGCGUGAAGUUGACCGCCUGGGGAGUACGGUCGCAAGAUU